ensembl:lncRNA
UCUCUCCCUCCGUCCCUCCCUCUCUCUCUCUCUCUCUCUCUCUCUCUCUCUCUCUCUCUCUCGUUCUGUUUGGUCUCUUGGUCCUGCCUGUCUCCAUUCUCUCCUCAGCACUCUCUGGACUAGCAGUAAGACAGGUUAGCUACUUUAACACACUUAAACCCUCUUCUACAGUCUCGUGUGUGUGUGCGUAUCUGUGUGUUUGAUAGUGAAAGAAGUAGCGAGAGAGAGGAAACGUGUGUGUGUGUGUGUGUGUGUGUGUGUGUGUGUGUGUGUGUGUGUUUAAUCAUAUCCGGGUGCUGGUGGGUUCAGAGCCUCUGCUGUCCUGACACAGACCACAGUCAGGAGCGAGAGGGGAGUGGAGAAGAGUAAGGCAGUGUGUGUGUGUGUGUGUGUGUGUGUGUGUGUGAGAGAGAGAGUCAGGAGCAGGAGUGGAAUGGAGAAGAGUAAGGC